GUGGGGAAUAUUGGACAAUGGGCGAAAGCCUGAUCCAGCCAUGCCGCGUGUGUGAAGAAGGUCUUCGGAUUGUAAAGCACUGUAAGUUGGGAGGAAGGGCAGUAAGUUAAUACCUUGCUGUUUUGACGUUACCGACAGAAUAAGCACCGGCUAACUUCGUGCCAGCAGCGGCGGUAAUACGAAGGGUGCAGGCGUUAGUGGGAAUUAUGGGGCGUAAAGUGCGCGUAGGUGGUUUUGUAAGGUGGCGGUGAAAUCCCCGGGCUCAACCUGGGAACUGCCUGCAAAACUGCAUGACUAGAGUACGGGAGAGGGUAGUGGAAUUUCCUGUGUAGCGGUGAAAUGCGUAGAUAUAGGAAGGAACACCAGUGGCGAAGGCGACUACCUGGACUGAUACUGACACUGAGGUGCGAAAGCGUGGGGAGCAAACAGGAUUAGAAACCCUAGUAGUCC
rnacentral:rRNA from 1 species